AACGAACGCUGGCGGCAGGCUUAACACAUGCAAGUCGAGCGCCCCGCAAGGGGAGCGGCAGACGGGUGAGUAACGCGUGGGAACGUACCCUUUGGUUCGGAACAACUCCGGGAAACUGGAGCUAAUACCGGAUAAGCCCUAACGGGGAAAGAUUUAUCGCCGAAAGAUCGGCCCGCGUCUGAUUAGCUAGUUGGUGAGGUAACGGCUCACCAAGGCGACGAUCAGUAGCUGGUCUGAGAGGAUGAUCAGCCACACUGGGACUGAGACACGGCCCAGACUCCUACGGGAGGCAGCAGUGGGGAAUAUUGGACAAUGGGCGCAAGCCUGAUCCAGCCAUGCCGCGUGAGUGAUGAAGGCCUUAGGGUUGUAAAGCUCUUUUGUCCGGGAAGAUAAUGACUGUACCGGAAGAAUAAGCCCCGGCUAACUUCGUG
rnacentral:rRNA from 1 species